GACGAACCGUGCGAACGUUGUUCGGAAUCACUGGGCUUAAAGGGCGCGUAGGCGGGCCGGCAAGUCAGGGGUGAAAUCCCACGGCUCAACCGUGGAAGUGCCUUUGAUACUGCCGGUCUGGAGGGAGGUAGGGGCGUGCGGAACUUCCGGUGGAGCGGUGAAAGUGCGGUAGAUAUCGGAAGGAACACCGGGUGGCGAAAGCGGCGCGCUGGACCUCUACUGACG
rnacentral:rRNA from 1 species